rnacentral:rRNA from 1 species
GACGGACGCUGGCGGCGGGCUUAACACAUGCAAGUCGAACGGAAAGGCCCUGCUUUUGUGGGGUGCUCGAGUGGCUAACGGGUGAGUAACACGUGAGUAACCUGCCCUUGACUUUGGGAUAACUUCAGGAAACUGGGGCUAAUACCGGAUAGGAGCUCCUGCUGCAUGGUGGGGGGUGGAAAGUUUCGGCGGUUGGGGAUGGACUCGCGGCUUAUCAGCUUUUUGGUGGGGUAGUGGCUUACCAAGGCUGUGACGGGUAGCCGGCCUGAGAGGGUGACCGGCCACAUUGGGCCUGCGAUACGGCCCAGACUCCUACGGGAGGCAGCAGUGGGGAAUAUUGCACAAUGGGCGGAAGCCUGAUGCAGAAACGCCGCGUGCGGGAUGACGGCCUUCGGGUUGUAAACCGCUUUCGCCUGUGACGAAGCGUGAGUGACGGUAAUGGGUAAAGAAGCACCGGCUAACUACGUG